GGGGAUAUAGCUCAGUUGGUAGAGUGCUUGCCUUAGAUCCACCAAGGCCCUGGGUUCAAUCCCCAGCACCACCA
rnacentral:tRNA from 1 species